AAUCUGUUGCGGCGCAAUGAAAUGGAUGUGGGUGUCGAUGCCGCCUGCGGUGACGAUGCUGCCCUCGCAGGAGAUGAUUUCUGUGCCCGGGCCAAUGAUGACGUCCACCCCCGGCUGGGUGUCCGGAUUGCCGGCCUUGCCGAUGGCAGCAAUGCGCCCGCCUUUCAAUCCAAUGUCGGCCUUGACGAUGCCCCAGUGGUCGACGAUGAGGGCAUUGGUGAGCACGGUGUCCAUGGCCCCUUGGGCGCGUGAAAACUGGCUUUGCGCCAUGCCGUCACG
rnacentral:sRNA from 1 species